UUUUUCCUAUUAAUAUAAUAAUAAUCAUUUCAUAUUGUAUAUUACAAUAUUGGGUAUGUAUCUGUUGGUACAUUAUUUGUUUUAUCGAUGUUCACUGAAUACUUAUAUAAUAAACAUAAUAAUAUAUUAUUUCUUACAAUAAAAAGGUAUUUUUGUGCCUGCUAGAAGAAACGAAUUUCAAGAAAAAAAAAGUUUGGGUGCAUUUGUACCCCACUUGGUAUUUAGGAAAUUUUUUGACCAAGGUUUUAUGAAGAUUAAGAUGGAUAAAUUGCAAGAAAACCUUCAAAAAUAUUUUCAAAAUUGCUUUUUGCGGGCUAGACAUUUUUUUAGUCCAAAACAGAUUUAAAAUUUGAAUUUAGCACUUCAAAAAACGGGGGUAUACCGGGUUUCAUCCAAUUAUUCAGAUAGUAAGAUGUUUCAGCCGCUUUUGGUAGGCUUUAAACCAGUGUGGAGCGGGACAAACGACCUGCAGUGGAGUUUUAGAUGCCACGAGGAAGAUUUAUAGAGAGGAAGGUUUCAGGGCGUUCUGGAAAGGUUCAGUUGCCCGUGUGUUCAGAUCUUCCCCACAAUUUGGUGUUACUCUAUUAACUUAUGAACUUCUUCAAAGGACGAUCUACGUCGAUUUUGGAGGAACUCGACCAACCGGCUCCGAACUGAAAGUGACGUCGAUAGGUGGCGACCGCGCCCCAUCCAAUCCCGACCAUGUGGGGGGCUAUUCAGUCUCCGUUCUCAUUUUCUCGGGGAUCGAGACUAAAUUCGGCCUAUGUCUGCCCAAAUUCAGCCUGGCCAGAACGUAAACGGAGACCUGCUUUAGUCGAAUUUGUAUAGAACCAAAUCGCUUUAUCGUGGAAAGAAAAAUACUUUAACAAAAUGAAAAGUAAUCAACGUUAACAAACGGUGGUAUUCAUGCUUGCAACGUAUUGAUCUUAACAGUAGCCCUAGUUCUAAUGGGUCCUAAGACAUACAUGCUCAAAACUAGAGGUUUUAAGAAUUCUCGAAAUAAUAUUUCACAUGUUGAA